UCUAGGUAGAAUUAUGAUAAUGACAUUGUCUGCCUAUGUGUCUUGACCAAAUUACGUGCCAGCAGUCGCGGUAAUACGUAGAAGACUAGUGUUAUUCAUGUUUAAUCGGUUUAAAGGGUACCUAGACGGUGAAUCAAGCUUUAGAAUAAAGAAGAAAAGGAACUAAUUCGCUAGAGUUACUUACGAGGGGGUAGUAAAGUACUGCUGGUGUAGAGAUGAAAUUCUGUCAUACCUCUUUUCGAAAGAAAAAUUAUGGCACAGGUAUAGGCGAAGGCAUCCCCUUAUGUGAUAACUGACGUUGAGGGACGAAGGCUUCGUGGAACAAACAGGAUUAGAUACCCUAGUAGUUGAAGCAGAAAAUGAUGAAUGUCAUAGAUUAGACGUCUAAGUUUAUUCUAUAAAUGAAAGUGUAAGCAUUCCACCUCAUGAGUAAUUUGGCAACAUUGGAAUUGAAAUCAUUAGACCGUUUCUGAAACCAGUAGUGAAGUAUGUUGUUUAAUUUGAUAAUACGCAAAAAACCUUACCACAAUUUGAAUAUUUAUAUUGUUUAUUGUUAUCUUAUUAAUUUUCUUAAAAAAACUAAUUAUAGCAAAAGCAUUUUAAAACAGGAAAAGAAAAUUAAUCAAGAGGCAAUAACAUAUAUCUACAAGCGUUGCACGGCCGUCUUCAGUUAAUGUCGCGAGACUUUGGUUAGUUCCCUUCAAUUAACGCCUCCCUUACCUUAUUUUUUAUAAGAGUAGUUCCCCGCCAUAUGGAUAUAAAC
rnacentral:rRNA from 1 species